rnacentral:rRNA from 1 species
GUAGGGAAUAUUGGACAAUGGGCGAAAGCCUGAUCCAGCCAUGCCGCGUGAUAGAUGAAGGCCCUCUGGGUUGUAAAUAUCUUUUAUCUGGGAAGAAACUCCUCUAUUCUUAGAGGCCUGACGGUACCAGAGGAAUAAGCACCGGCUAACUCCGUGCCAGCAGCCGCGGUAAUACGGAGGGUGCAAGCGUUAUCCGGAUUCACUGGGUUUAAAGGGUGCGUAGGCGGGCUGAUAAGUCAGUGGUGAAAGCUCCGGGCUUAACUUGGAAACUGCCAUUGAUACUGUCAGUCUUGAAUGUCGUAGAGGUAAGCGGAAUGUUGCAUGUAGCGGUGAAAUGCUUAGAUAUGUUACAGAACACCAAUUGCGAAGGCAGCUUACUAUGCGAUAAUUGACGCUGAGGCACGAAAGCGUGGGGAGCAAACAGGAUUAGAAACCCUUGUAGUCC